rnacentral:misc_RNA from 1 species
GGUAGGAGUGAGCCUGCUCGCGAUAGCGUUCUGUCAGUUGUUAAAGCGUUGACCGACAAUUCGCUAUCGCGAGCAGGCUCACUCCUACA